UGCGCCUUGCCAGCCCGCUCAGAAACUUAAAGGAAUUGACGGGGGCCCGCACAAGCGGAGGAACAUGUGGUUUAAUUCGAUGAUACGCGAGGAACCUUACCUGGGCUAGAACGCAAUCGGAAUCAGGCCGAAAGGUCUGCGCCAGCGAUGGCCGGUUGCGAGGUGCUGCAUGGUUGUCGUCAGCUCGUGCCGUGAGGUGUCGGGUUAAGUCCCAUAACGAGCGCAACCCCUACUGCUAGUUGCCAGCGGGUCAUGCCGGGGACUCUAGCGGAACUGCCAGCGUAAGCUGCGAGGAAGGUGGGGAUGACGUCAAAUCAGCACGGCCCUUACGUCCAGGGCUACACACGUGUUACAAUGGCCAGUACAGAGGGCAGCCACCCCGCGAGGGGGCGCUAAUCCUAAAAGCUGGUCCCAGUUCGGAUCGGAGUCUGCAACCCGACUCCGUGAAGCUGGAUUCGCUAGUAAUCGCGCAUCAGCCACGGCGCGGUGAAUACGUUCCCGGGCCUU
rnacentral:rRNA from 1 species